CAUGUCCUAUUGUGAUUGAUUUUAUUUUAGGUCUGGCCUGCUCAAUGAUUAUUUUUAAUUUAAUAGCCGCAGUAUUUUGACUGUGCGAAGGUAGCAUAAUCAUUUGUCUUUUAAUUGAAGGCUUGUAUGAAUGGUUUGAUGAGACACAUACUUUCUUUAUAUCAAAUAUUAUUGAACUUAAUUUUUAAGUCAAAAAGCUUAAAUUUAUUUAUAGGACGAGAAGACCCUAUAGAAUUUUAUUUAUAUAUUAUUUAUUUAAUGAUUUGGUUAUUACUCAUAAAUAGUCAGAUAUAUAAAUUUUGUUGGGGCGACAGGGAAAUUUUAGUAACUUUCUUUAUUUAUAUAUUAUUUAUUUAUAUAUUAAUGAUCCUUAAUUAGGAUAAUAAGAUUAAAUUACCUUAGGGAUAACAGCGUAAUUCUUUUGGAGAGUUCUUAUCGAUAAAGGAGUUUGCGACCUCGAUGUUGGAUUAAAAUUAGUUUUAGGUGUAGCAGCUUAAUAACUAGGUCUGUUCGACCUUUAAUAUUUUACGUGAUCUGAGUUCA
rnacentral:rRNA from 1 species